GGGAGCUUGCUCCCUGAUGUUAGCGGCGGACGGGUGAGUAACACGUGGGUAACCUGCCUGUAAGACUGGGAUAACUCCGGGAAACCGGGGCUAAUACCGGAUGGUUGACUGAACCGCAUGGUUCAGACAUAAAAGGUGGCUUCGGCUACCACUUACAGAUGGACCCGCGGCGCAUUAGCUAGUUGGUGAGGUAACGGCUCACCAAGGCGACGAUGCGUAGCCGACCUGAGAGGGUGAUCGGCCACACUGGGACUGAGACACGGCCCAGACUCCUACGGGAGGCAGCAGUAGGGAAUCUUCCGCAAUGGACGAAAGUCUGACGGAGCAACGCCGCGUGAGUGAUGAAGGUUUUCGGAUCGUAAAGCUCUGUUGUUAGGGAAGAACAAGUGCCGUUCAAAUAGGGCGGCACCUUGACGGUACCUAACCAGAAAGCCACGGCUAACUACGUGCCAGCAGCCGCGGUAAUACGUAGGUGGCAAGCGUUGUCCGGAAUUAUUGGGCGUAAAGGGCUCGCAGGCGGUUUCUUAAGUCUGAUGUGAAAGCCCCCGGCUCAACCGGGGAGGGUCAUUGGAAACUGGGGAACUUGAGUGCAGAAGAGGAGAGUGGAAUUCCACGUGUAGCGGUGAAAUGCGUAGAGAUGUGGAGGAACACCAGUGGCGAAGGCGACUCUCUGGUCUGUAACUGACGCUGAGGAGCGAAAGCGUGGGGAGCGAACAGGAUUAGAUACCCUGGUAGUCCACGCCGUAAACGAUGAGUGCUAAGUGUUAGGGGGUUUCCGCCCCUUAGUGCUGCAGCUAACGCAUUAAGCACUCCGCCUGGGGAGUACGGUCGCAAGACUGAAACUCAAAGGAAUUGACGGGGGCCCGCACAAGCGGUGGAGCAUGUGGUUUAAUUCGAAGCAACGCGAAGAACCUUACCAGGUCUUGACAUCCUCUGACAAUCCUAGAGAUAGGACGUCCCCUUCGGGGGCAGAGUGACAGGUGGUGCAUGGUUGUCGUCAGCUCGUGUCGUGAGAUGUUGGGUUAAGUCCCGCAACGAGCGCAACCCUUGAUCUUAGUUGCCAGCAUUCAGUUGGGCACUCUAAGGUGACUGCCGGUGACAAACCGGAGGAAGGUGGGGAUGACGUCAAAUCAUCAUGCCCCUUAUGACCUGGGCUACACACGUGCUACAAUGGACAGAACAAAGGGCAGCGAAACCGCGAGGUUAAGCCAAUCCCACAAAUCUGUUCUCAGUUCGGAUCGCAGUCUGCAACUCGACUGCGUGAAGCUGGAAUCGCUAGUAAUCGCGGAUCAGCAUGUCGCGGUGAAUACGUUCCCGGGCCUUGUACACACCGCCCGUCACACCACGAGAGUUUGU
rnacentral:rRNA from 1 species